UCAUUUUGAUUUCAAUUUUCACGAUUUUUCAUUUAUUCAAAUGUCUGCCUCUCCUCAGCUUUAGCAUCGUUUCUAAUUUUCAAUGGAAGCAGUGUCAUUUAUUCAUUUCAGGUUACUGAUUUACACCGCCGUUGCAUGCUCCGCCAACCGCCGCCGCUUCGCCCACCGUUGCUAUACUGCGAACGCCAACAUGCACUGUGCAGGGCAUGUACAAUGGAGCAGGGACUAUGAAACAACGAACUAUCAAAA